rnacentral:rRNA from 1 species
UCCAAUGCCAUAUCCAAUGCCACAACCUGCAGCCCUAGACUGGUUACUCACUGAAGCUAUGCAGGGCUGAGCCUGGUCAGCACCUGGAUGGGAGACCACAUGGGAAAACUAGGUUGAUGGUGGAA